rnacentral:rRNA from 1 species
AUUGAACGCUGGCGGCAGGCCUAACACAUGCAAGUCGAGCGGGGUUUUCGGACCUAGCGGCGGACGGGCGAGUAAUGCGUAGGAAGCUACCUGAUAGAGGGGGAUACCAGUUGGAAACGACUGUUAAUACCGCAUAAUGUCUACGGACCAAAGUGUGGGACCUUCGGGCCACAUGCUAUCGGAUGCGCCUACGUGGGAUUAGCUAGUUGGUGAGGUAAUGGCUUACCAAGGCGACGAACCCUAGCUGGUUUGAGAGGAUGAUCAGCCAAACUGGAACUGAAACACGGUCCCGACUCCUACGGGAGUCAGCAGUGGGGAAUAUUGGACAAUGGGCGCAAGCCUGAUCCAGCCAUGCCGCGUGUGUGAAGAAGGCCUUCGGGUUGUAAAGCACUUUCAGUAGGGAGGAAGCGUUGUGUGUUAAUAGUACACAGCGUUGACGUUACCUACAGAAGAAGCACCGGCUAACUCUGUGCCAGCCGCCGCCGUAAGAC